rnacentral:rRNA from 1 species
AGGGAAUCUUCCGCAAUGGACGAAAGUCUGACGGAGCAACGCCGCGUGAGUGAUGAAGGUUUUCGGAUCGUAAAGCUCUGUUGCCAGGGAAGAACGUCCGUUAGAGUAACUGCUAACGGAGUGACGGUACCUGCGAAGAAAGCCCCGGCUAACUACGUGCCAGCAGCCGCGGUAAUACGUAGGGGGCGAGCGUUGUCCGGAAUUAUUGGGCGUAAAGCGCGCGCAGGCGGCUGUUUAAGUCUGGUGGUUAAUCCUGGGGCUCACCCCCGGGUCGCACUGGAAACUGGACGGCUUGAGUGCAGAAGAGGAGAGUGGAAUUCCACGUGUAGCGGUGAAAUGCGUAGAGAUGUGGAGGAACACCAGUGGCGAAGGCGACUCUCUGGGCUGUAACUGACGCUGAGGCGCGAAAGCGUGGGGAGCAAAC